rnacentral:tRNA from 1 species
UAGGGAGUAGUACAUGGGUGGUACUGGAGGUUUUGAAUUUCCAAAGAUAGGUUCAACUCCUGUCUCUCUAA